rnacentral:rRNA from 1 species
GACGAACGCUGGCGGCGCGCCUAACACAUGCAAGUCGAGCGAUGAUAGCUUUUCAGAUUCCUUCGGGAUGACGAAAAGAAGGAUUAGCGGCGGACGGGUGAGUAACACGUGAGUAACCUGCCUUUGACACAGGGAUAGCCUUGGGAAACUGGGAUUAAUACCUGAUGACAUCAUUAGAUCGCAUGAUUUAAUGAUUAAAAUGAUUUAGUGGUCAAAGAUGGACUCGCGUCUGAUUAGCUAGUUGGUGAGAUAAAAGCUCACCAAGGCAACGAUCAGUAACCGGCCUGAGAGGGUGAACGGUCACAUUGGAACUGAGACACGGUCCAA